GAUGAACGCUGGCGGCGUGCCUAAUACAUGCAAGUCGAGCGAACGGACGAGAAGCUUGCUUCUCUGAUGUUAGCGGCGGACGGGUGAGUAACACGUGGAUAACCUACCUAUAAGACUGGGAUAACUUCGGGAAACCGGAGCUAAUACCGGAUAAUAUUUUGAACCGCAUGGUUCAAAAGUGAAAGACGGUCUUGCUGUCACUUAUAGAUGGAUCCGCGCUGCAUUAGCUAGUUGGUAAGGUAACGGCUUACCAAGGCAACGAUGCAUAGCCGACCUGAGAGGGUGAUCGGCCACACUGGAACUGAGACACGGUCCAGACUCCUACGGGAGGCAGCAGUAGGGAAACUGCCGCAAUGGGCGAAAGCCUGACGGAGCAACGGCGCGUGAGUGAUGAAGGUCUUCGGAUCGUAAAACUCUGUUAUUAGGGAAGAACAUAUGUGUAAGUAACUGUGCACAUCUUGACGGUACCUAAUCAGAAAGCCACGGCUAACUACGUG
rnacentral:rRNA from 1 species